GGAGGGGGGCUAGCGUUGUUCGGAAUUACUGGGCGUAAAGCGCGCGUAGGCGGGCUGGUUAGUUGGGGGGGGUGAAAUCCCGAGGGCUCAACCUCGGAACUGCCCUCAAUACUGCCAGUCUUGAGUUCGAGAGAGGUGAGUGGAAUUCCUAGUGUAGAGGUGAAAUUCGUAGAUAUUAGGAAGAACACCAGUGGCGAAGGCGGCUCACUGGCUCGAUACUGACGCUGAGGCGCGAAAGCGUGGGGAGCAAACAGGAUUAGAUACCCUGGUAGUCCACGCCGUAAACGAUGGGUGCUAGUUGUCAGGCGGCUUGCUGUUUGGUGACGCAGCUAACGCGUUAAGCACCCCGCCUGGGGACUACGGUCGCAAGACUA
rnacentral:rRNA from 1 species